AGAGUUUGAUCCUGGCUCAGGAUGAACGCUGGCGGCGUGCUUAACACAUGCAAGUCGAACGAAGAUAUUAAGAAUGAGAGUUUCGGCAGGAAUUUUUUCUAUCUUAGUGGCGGACGGGUGAGUAACGUGUGGGCAACCUGCCCUGCACUGGGGAAUAAUCAUUGGAAACGAUGACUAAUACCGCAUACGGUUCCUGGGAGGCAUCUUCCGGGAAAGAAAGGAUUUAUUCGGUGCAGGAUGGGCCCGCAUCUGAUUAGCUAGUUGGUGAGAUAACAGCCCACCAAGGCGACGAUCAGUAGCCGACCUGAGAGGGUGACCGGCCACAUUGGGACUGAGACACGGCCCAAACUCCUACGGGAGGCAGCAGUGGGGAAUAUUGCACAAUGGGCGAAAGCCUGAUGCAGCAACGCCGCGUGAAGGAAGAAGGGUUUCGGCUCGUAAACUUCUAUCAACAGGGACGAAAGAAAUGACGGUACCUGAAUAAGAAGCCCCGGCUAACUACGUGCCAGCAGCCGCGGUAAUACGUAGGGGGCAAGCGUUAUCCGGAAUUACUGGGUGUAAAGGGUGAGUAGGCGGCAUGGUAAGCCAGAUGUGAAAGCCUUGGGCUUAACCUGAGGAUUGCAUUUGGAACUAUCAAGCUAGAGUACAGGAGAGGAAAGCGGAAUUCCUAGUGUAGCGGUGAAAUGCGUAGAUAUUAGGAAGAACACCAGUGGCGAAGGCGGCUUUCUGGACUGAAACUGACGCUGAGGCACGAAAGCGUGGGGAGCGAACAGGAUUAGAUACCCUGGUAGUCCACGCUGUAAACGAUGAGUGCUUGGUGUCGGGGGGGAAUCCCCGGUGCCGCAGCUAACGCAAUAAAGCACUCCACCUGGGGAGUAGGACCGCAAGGUUGAAACUCAAAGGAAUUGACGGGGGCCCGCACAAGCGGUGGAGCAUGUGGUUUAAUUCGAAGCAACGCGAAGAACCUUACCAAGGCUUGACAUCCCGAUGACAGGUGUAGAGAUACGCUUUCCCUUCGGGGCAUCGGAGACAGGUGGUGCAUGGUUGUCGUCAGCUCGUGUCGUGAGAUGUUGGGUUAAGUCCCGCAACGAGCGCAACCCUUACCCUUAGUAGCCAUCAUUAAGUUGGGCACUCUGUGGGGACUGCCGGGGACAACCCGGAGGAAGGUGGGGAUGACGUCAAAUCAUCAUGCCCCUUAUGGCCGGGGCUACACACGUGCUACAAUGGCGUAAACAAAGGGAAGCGAGAGAGUGAUCUUAAGCGAAACUCAAAAAUAACGUCCCAGUUCGGAUUGCAGUCUGCAACUCGACUGCAUGAAGCUGGAAUCGCUAGUAAUCGCGGAUCAGGAUGCCGCGGUGAAU
rnacentral:rRNA from 1 species